CCUGAGAAAAAGAGGGUGAAAAGUAAGAAUGGGAAAGGGGCCAGGAGAUCAAAGGAAAACAGAGGGAAGAGAGCAAAUGGUAAAAAACACAAAAAGUGUGCAAAUUUAUAACAGGUAAGUAUAACAGGUAAGCAUCUAAGGUAAGUAUAACAGGUACGUAUAACAGGUAAGCAUCUAUGGUAAGUAUAACAGGUAAGCAUCUAAGGUAAGUAUAACAACAGUUUAAUAUAACCAGUAAUGAUACCAGGGAUAUAUCAGUCGGGUGGUGAUAAGAACUGCCAUUAUCUUAAUCGCGAAUGUCUGUUUUGUUAAUUUUUUAUUUAUGUUUGUGCAACUCAAUGAGACAUAAUUGAGCGUACUAGAGUGAGACAGAUGAGAAUCUAUGUCAUGGAGCAUACCUGAUAGCCCGGAGGUCAAACACAGUUGAUUCUCCAGGGUUUUUGCCAGGACGGAUGGACUUACAAAGCUUCAGCUUGCUGUAGUCCUGGAAGAAACUGUGGUUGACAUAUUGCACAUUGUAUGGCCUGGGAUUGGACCGUGCUGCUCUGAUCACCGUGGCAUACUCGGCUGGAACAUGGAUGUCUCUGUCUCUCAGUCUUCUCUCUAUCACGCUGUGCACGGAGUCGCAUUCCAUUUGUGUAUGCCCUUUUUCCAAGUACUUCUGGGUAACGACCUUUUGCUUCUCAGUUGCAAACUUCAGCAGAGCAUUGCUUAAAACUAUGUUGCGAUUUUGAUAGCUGCAUCCAUCACUCCAUAAGAUGUAUUCAUCAUGCAUGCUGUGUUCCUCAAGGAAGUGGAUGAUACAUGAAGCAAAUUCAUUAGCUGUGAGUCCACCUUCCCCUUCAUGCCACAAAUAAUUAGUAGCAUCAUGGGUUGCCAUGUUGUACAUUGUGAAGUUGUGGACACCAAGCUUGGUUUUAUAGUAGAGUGCUGAGGCUUGAAGUUUGGGGCAAAGAAGUAAACCCUGCAGAUCCAUACACACCACCAUUGUUUUCUCAGUUGCAUUGUUUUUAUCUUCCUGCUUGCUCACUCUUGCUGACUCCUUCUUCCUGCAAUGUUCUUCCCAUGUGCCAGCAUCUAUGUUUCCAACUUUAUAUGAACAGCACGUAUUGCACUGAUCUUUCUUGGGGUGAAACAGCGAGAGAUUUAAUUGGUUAAAAAUGCUACUGAAUACUUGUCUUGAAAGAGACUGGACAUUAUUUUCUGCACAAGCAUGGGUGUAUUCAGAAUGAAGAUGGCUGAUGGAUUUAAAAAGAGGUUCCAAGUACAUUUUUGUAGAGGAAGAUCUGCAGUAAUGAGAUGGAACCUUAGGAAGGUCCUUUAGAAACUGCUGAAGGAACUCAACCUCUUCAUUCCUGAUGCUGGUUUUCUUUAUCUUUUCAGGCUCUCUCCGGCCAACCCAACUUAGAAAGCACCACUGCUUGAUCCCUAGUGUUGAAAGAAACAUGCUCUGACAUACCCUGGUCCUUUUGCCAUCCACUUUAAGGUGACACAGAAUGGAUGCUGACCUCCUUGACUGUUCUUCUCCUGUCCGUCGUCUUCUCACAGGGCCUACAUCUACCAGUGACACAACAUAAAUUUUCCUCUCCCUCCAGUCUAAUUUUUCCCAGAAGUAUUUAAAAAUUGCCUCCCUGUCCGCUUCCUGUAUUGCUUCACAGUGCAGCUUUUUCGAUUUCCUACAAAAUACAGACUGGCAUGGCCUACCCAUUUUUCUUUCUUCCCUCGUCACUUCCUCAUUUUGCCUUCUUCCAAGAUAUGACUGACCCAUCAUUCUUCUCCUUUUCUGAGUGUUGACUUUCCAGGUCUCUGUGUUUGUCCGCCUUUUUGGUCUUCCCAUGCGAGACUCUCCACCUAAAGCCUCCUCAGCUACAUCAUUUUCUUUAUUGCCCUCUUGAAGGAAAAAAACAAACAAACAUUCUUACUUCAUUUCAAGUGUUUAAUAAAAAUAAAAAAAACAC